UACGAAGGGGGCUAGCGUUGCUCGGAAUCACUGGGCGUAAAGGGCGCGUAGGCGGACUCUUAAGUCGGGGGUGAAAGCCCAGGGCUCAACCCUGGAAUUGCCUUCGAUACUGAGAGUCUUGAGUUCGGAAGAGGUUGGUGGAACUGCGAGUGUAGAGGUGAAAUUCGUAGAUAUUCGCAAGAACACCAGUGGCGAAGGCGGCUCACUGGCCCGGUACUGACGCUGAGGUGCGAAAGCGUGGGGAGCAAACAGGAUUAGAAACCU
rnacentral:rRNA from 1 species